CGAACGGGUGAGUAAUAUAUCGGAACGUGCCCAGUAGUGGGGGAUAGCCCGGCGAAAGCCGGAUUAAUACCGCAUACGACCUACGGGUGAAAGGGGGGGAUCGCAAGACCUCUCGCUAUUGGAGCGGCCGAUAUCAGAUUAGCUAGUUGGUGGGGUAAAAGCCUACCAAGGCGACGAUCUGUAGCUGGUCUGAGAGGACGACCAGCCACACUGGGACUGAGACACGGCCCAG
rnacentral:rRNA from 1 species